rnacentral:rRNA from 1 species
GACGAACGCUGGCGGCGUGCCUAAUACAUGCAAGUCGAGCGGACGGAUGGGAGCUUGCUCCCAGACCGUCAGCGGCGGACGGGUGAGUAACACGUGGGCAACCUGCCUGUAAGACUGGGAUAACUCCGGGAAACCGGGGCUAAUACCGGAUAACUCUUUCCCUCACAUGAGGGAAAGCUGAAAGAUGGCAUCUCGCUAUCACUUACAGAUGGGCCCGCGGCGCAUUAGCUAGUUGGUGAGGUAACGGCUCACCAAGGCGACGAUGCGUAGCCGACCUGAGAGGGUGAUCGGCCACGCUGGGACUGAGACACGGCCCAGACUCCUACGGGAGGCAGCAGUAGGGAAUCUUCCGCAAUGGACGAAAGUCUGACGGAGCAACGCCGCGUGAGUGAUGAAGGUUUUCGGAUCGUAAAACUCUGUUGUCAGGGAAGAACAAGUACCGGAGUAACUGCCGGUACCUUGACGGUACCUGACCAGAAAGCCACGGCUAACUACGUG